GAUGAACGCUGGCUACAGGCUUAACACAUGCCAGUCGAGGGGAAGCGACGGGGAAGCUUGCUUCCCCGGGCGUCGACCGGCGCACGGGUGAGUAACGCGUAUCCAACCUGCCUCUGACUGAGGGAUAACCCGUCGAAAGUCGGCCUAAUACCUCAUGGUAUCGUCUGCGGGCAUCCAACGACGAUUAAAGAUUUCAUCGGUCAGGGAUGGGGAUGCGUCUGAUUAGCUUGUUGGCGGGGUAACGGCCCACCAAGGCUACGAUCAGUAGGGGUUCUGAGAGGAAGGUCCCCCACAUUGGAACUGAGACACGGUCCAAACUCCUACGGGAGGCAGCAGUGAGGAAUAUUGGUCAAUGGGCGAGAGCCUGAACCAGCCAAGUAGCGUGCAGGAAGACGGCCCUAUGGGUUGUAAACUGCUUUUAUGCGGGGAUAAAGUGAGGGACGUGUCCCUCAUUGCAGGUACCGCAUGAAUAAGGACCGGCUAAUUCCGUG
rnacentral:rRNA from 1 species